CACGCCGUAAACGAUGAUCACUCGAUGUUGGCGAUACACUGUCAGCGUCUGAGCGAAAGCAUUAAGUGAUCCACCUGGGGAGUACGAUCGCAAGGUUGAAACUCAAAGGAAUUGACGGGGGCCCGCACAAGCGGAGGAGCAUGUGGUUUAAUUCGAUGAUACGCGAGGAACCUUACCUGGGCUUAAAUGUAGAGCGACGUUUCGGGAAACCGAAAUUCCCUUUGGGGCGAUCUACAAGGUGC
rnacentral:rRNA from 1 species